UCGGUCUCGGCUACACGAGGGCCUUUCCAGUGCCCUCAGUUUGCGAUCUGACCUCAAGGAUUUUUCUUUCGGAUCUCAGUACGUCACAGUGAUCCCAGAGUUUCUGUCAGAUUCAGGUAGCUCCAGAAUCAGAAUCCUGAAAUUUUGUCUUGAUAAUUAGCUCUUUACUCUCUCUGCCUUUGGGCCACUGACCCCAUCAAAAUGGCGGAAAGUGAAAGCAGUCCGUCCUGUGAAGAGGUCUACUUUUUCAGCCCAUUUGUGGACAUUGUCACUGCCUGACAAAGCCGCGCUCAGUCUCAGCAUCUCAGGCUGAGGGCUACACUGUGGAGAUGGAGGCGGGGUGGGUCCCAAUGCUAGUCCCUCUCUCUGGAACCCACAGGCAGAGGCCUCAAGCCAACUGUCCUUCCCUGUAAAUCAGAAACAGGGCAAGUAAAAGCUUGGACGUCUUCGUCUCUCCAUAGCCAGAGGAAGUCAGCCAGUCCCAGGCCUCGGCCCUGAGGAAAUUCGCCGAACCCUUUCAACAGGCUUGAAUUCUGUCGGCAGCCCAACCAUCUCCUUGUUUACUGUUGAAAUAAUUACUACUUUGCCAUAAUAUUAGCUCUGAGCCGUGACUCCAUUACCAUUAUCACCGGAAUAUUACCCAUUUAUUAUCUCCCAGCAACCCUGGAAGAUGAAUACUGGGCUUCAGAGACCAAUUGUUUUACAGCAGACAGGAUCUUGGUGUGCAUUGUUUAAUGAGGUAAACUACAUUACAGCCAGCAUUAAUUUGGCUGCAGUGCACUCCACUAAAUCACUCUUAACCUGGAAAUCUGCCACUCUUUCUGAUGUGCCCUUAAUCGGCGAGGAUGGGAGACUUCCUUUGAGAAGAGGCUGGAGCUGAGGGGAGAGAAGAGGAAAGGUUAAAGAAUGACCACAGCAACCCACAACAGACAGAAGACAGAACUAGACAAUGAGAUUGUCUUUUGGCAUGAGGUUGUCUUUCGGUAUGAGAGGCAGGGCAGCCUCCCAGAGGUCUGGCCAUUUGCUGAGCUCACAGGAGCCUGCGUGCGGACUCGUGGAGCUCAUUGCCUUAGGUGAAACGCAGCUGGAGACACACCGAGAAACAGAGGAGCAGAUGAAAGAAGUUUCUGCAUAAAGCCUCCCUUGUCACUUACAUUCUUGCUGUAAGCUGCAUGAAGUCACCUGAGGACUUUGUUAAAGUGCAGAUUCUAAUUCAGCAGCUCUGGGGUAGCCUGAAAAGUCUUCAUCUCUAAGUGGCUCCCAGGGGUUGCUGAUGUUGCAGGUCCGCAGCAAAAGGAGCCUUGUUUCUCUAAGAAAUGUCUGCACUGCCUUGUUCAAGACCAUGCUCUAUGCAGUCUAAUAAAACAGCCGCAUAGUUACCGUUUUUGAGGUGGGCAAACAGAAAUGAAUUCCUUUUGCUCCAUCAAAUGCUGACAACUUCUAUACAGGUCCUGGGGUGAAUGAAGCACAAAAACUUCUCAGAAAGAAUAUCCCAGAUACAAUAGACACCAGAGACACUGCUGUAAGUCGGUGCCUUCAGAUUUUUUGGGUAGAGAACACUGUAGUCCUAAAAUGUCCUAAAAAAUUACUUUUAUAUUACCAAUUGAGAAAGAAUCGACAGGGCUUGAACUUCGGAUUCUCGGAAUCCAGUCUAAUGUUUUUCUGUAAAGAAAAAUAAAUUUAUUUUCUGCUAUGCCACUGGUGAGUUUCCCAAAAUUAUCUGUUUUCCUGAUGUUGAAAACCUUUUCUCUGCACAGCCUGAAUGAAUUUAAAACUUAAGCAAUCAUCCCAUAAACCUAGCCCAGGUAAUCGUGGUUGAAAUUUUAAAAAUUGUUUAUUAGAAAAUUCCAGUUUCUUCUUUAAAAACUAAGGUGGGGCUGUUAUGUUUCUCAAAGCCUCUCUCAGUUUACCAUGUUCAUCUGCCCAAGCCCCACCAUCAUUGCAUUUUACUGAGAGAGACAGAAAAAAAGUCUUUGUGAUUUAAUAUGUAAUCUCAAGAAUAGCAGAACUUGGCUGACGGUAUAAAUUGGGAAUGUCUUUUACUGCACAUCUUCCCUCCCAAAACUUUUUAUUGUACCCAUCUUGAAAACUUAUAAUGAAUGGUUUUUAUCUCCGGCCAUACAUGUGAAGUGUAAGGGGUGUGUGUGCAUGUCUGUAUGUGUGGUGUGUUUCAUCUUGUGUAAGAGUAGCAUAACAAUAAUAAUUCUUCUUUUCAAAUUUUAUCAUAAUUAAAGAAAAAGGACAUCACUAAUGUAUUUUCAUAUUGUCUACCAGACUGUUCCACUGGUGUCUGGCUUACAUUUAUCUGGUUUGGGAGCAUUAUGCCUCUCCUAGUUCAUUUAUCCAUCCAUUCAUCCAUCCAUCCAUCCAUCCAACCACCCAUCCAUCCAUCUAUCCAUCAUCCAUCCAUUCGUUCAUCCAUCCAACCAUCCAUCCAUCCAUCCAUCCAUCAUCCAUCCAUGCAUUCAACCAUCCAACCACCCAUCCAUCCAUCCAUCCAUCCAUCCAUUCAUCAUCCAACCAUCCAUCCAUCCAUCCAUCCAUCCAUCAUCCAUCCAUUUGUCCAUCCAACCACCCAUCCAUCCAUCCAUCCAUCCAUCAUCCAUCCA